CCGUACACCAAAAUGCACAGGCUGUGAACUCGAAGAGUAGGGCGGGACACGUGGUAUCCUGUCUGAAUAUGGGGGGACCAUCCUCCAAGGCUAAAUACUCCUGACUGACCGAUAGUGAACCAGUACCGUGAGGGAAAGGCGAAAAGAACCCCGGCGAGGGGAGUGAAAAAGAACCUGAAACCGUGUACGUACAAGCAGUGGGAGCACCUUNCACUAUCGUUAACUGAAUACAUAGGUUAACGAGGCGAACCGGGGGAACUGAAACAUCUAAGUACCCCGAGGAAAAGAAAUCAACCGAGAUUCCCCCAGUAGCGGCGAGCGAACGGGGAGCAGCCCAGAGUCUGAAUCAGCUUGUGUGUUAGUGGAACGGUCUGGAAAGUCCGACGGUACAGGGUGAUAGUCCCGUACACCAAAAUGCACAGGCUGUGAACUCGAAGAGUAGGGCGGGACACGUGGUAUCCUGUCUGAAUAUGGGGGGACCAUCCUCCAAGGCUAAAUACUCCUGACUGACCGAUAGUGAACCAGUACCGUGAGGGAAAGGCGAAAAGAACCCCGGCGAGGGGAGUGAAAAAGAACCUGAAACCGUGUACGUACAAGCAGUGGGAGCCCCACCACUAAGCCAGUGGUGAACUCCACAUAUGCAUCCUUUGCUGAAGGUGCGGUUAACGGAGCGUAAGCGACGUUCAACCUCAAAAGAAGCAGAGGGGGCUUAGUGGUGGGGUGACUGCGUACCUUUUGUAUAAUGGGUCAGCGACUUAUAUUCUGUAGCAAGGUUAACCGUAUAGGGGAGCCGCAGGGAAACCGAGUCUUAACUGGGCGUUAAGUUGCAGGGUAUAGACCCGAAACCCGGUGAUCUAGCCAUGGGCAGGUUGAAGGUUGGGUAACACUAACUGGAGGACCGAACCGACUAAUGUUGAAAAAUUAGCGGAUGACUUGUGGCUGGGGGUGAAAGGCCAAUCAAACCGGGAGAUAGCUGGUUCUCCCCGAAAGCUAUUUAGGUAGCGCCUCGUGAACUCAUCUUCGGGGGUAGAGCACUGUUUCGGCUAGGGGGUCAUCCCGACUUACCAACCCGAUGCAAACUACGAAUACCGAAGAAUGUUAUCACGGGAGACACACGGCGGGUGCUAACGUCCGUCGUGAAGAGGGAAACAACCCAGACCGCCAGCUAAGGUCCCAAAGUCAUGGUUAAGUGGGAAACGAUGUGGGAAGGCACAGACAGCCAGGAUGUUGGCUUAGAAGCAGCCAUCAUUUAAAGAAAGCGUAAUAGCUCACUGGUCGAGUCGGCCUGCGCGGAAGAUGUAACGGGGCUAAACCAUGCACCGAAGCUGCGGCAGCGACNGUUGUUGGGUAGGGGAGCGUUCUGUAAGCCUGCGAAGGUGACCUGUGAGGGUUGCUGGAGGUAUCAGAAGUGCGAAUGCUGACAUAAGUAACGAUAAAGCGGGUGAAAAGCCCGCUCGCCGGAAGACCAAGGGUUCCUGUCCAACGUUAAUCGGGGCAGGGUGAGUCGACCCCUAAGGCGAGGCCGAAAGGCGUAGUCGAUGGGAAACAGGUUAAUAUUCCUGUACUUGGUGUUACUGCGAAGGGGGGACGGAGAAGGCUAUGUUAGCCGGGCGACGGUUGUCCCGGUUUAAGCAUGUAGGCUGGUUAUCCAGGCAAAUCCGGAUAAUCAAGGCUGAGGUGUGAUGACGAGGCACUACGGUGCUGAAGUAACAAAUGCCCUGCUUCCAGGAAAAGCCUCUAAGCAUCAGGUAACANAAAUCGUACCCCAAACCGACACAGGUGGUCAGGUAGAGAAUACCAAGGCGCUUGAGAGAACUCGGGUGAAGGAACUAGGCAAAAUGGUGCCGUAACUUCGGGAGAAGGCACGCUGGUGUGUAGGUGAAGUCCCUGCGGAUGGAGCUGAGACCAGUCGAAGAUACCAGCUGGCUGCAACUGUUUAUUAAAAACACAGCACUGUGCAAACACGAAAGUGGACGUAUACGGUGUGACGCCUGCCCGGUGCCGGAAGGUUAAUUGAUGGGGUUAUCCGUAAGGAGAAGCUCUUGAUCGAAGCCCCGGUAAACGGCGGCCGUAACUAUAACGGUCCUAAGGUAGCGAAAUUCCUUGUCGGGUAAGUUCCGACCUGCACGAAUGGCGUAAUGAUGGCCAGGCUGUCUCCACCCGAGACUCAGUGAAAUUGAACUCGCUGUGAAGAUGCAGUGUACCCGCGGCAAGACGGAAAGACCCCGUGAACCUUUACUAUAGCUUGACACUGAACAUUGAGCCUUGAUGUGUAGGAUAGGUGGGAGGCUUUGAAGCGUGGACGCCAGUCUGCGUGGAGCCAACCUUGAAAUACCACCCUUUAAUGUUUGAUGUUCUAACGUUGGCCCCUUAUCGGGGUUGCGGACAGUGUCUGGUGGGUAGUUUGACUGGGGCGGUCUCCUCCCAAAGCGUAACGGAGGAGCACGAAGGUUAGCUAAUCCUGGUCGGACAUCAGGAGGUUAGUGCAAUGGCAUAAGCUAGCUUGACUGCGAGCGUGACGGCGCGAGCAGGUGCGAAAGCAGGUCAUAGUGAUCCGGUGGUUCUGAAUGGAAGGGCCAUCGCUCAACGGAUAAAAGGUACUCCGGGGAUAACAGGCUGAUACCGCCCAAGAGUUCAUAUCGACGGCGGUGUUUGGCACCUCGAUGUCGGCUCAUCACAUCCUGGGGCUGAAGUAGGUCCCAAGGGUAUGGCUGUUCGCCAUUUAAAGUGGUACGCGAGCUGGGUUUAGAACGUCGUGAGACAGUUCGGUCCCUAUCUGCCGUGGGCGCUGGAGAAUUGAGGGGGGCUGCUCCUAGUACGAGAGGACCGGAGUGGACGCAUCACUGGUGUUCGGGUUGUCAUGCCAAUGGCACUGCCCGGUAGCUAAAUGCGGAAGAGAUAAGUGCUGAAAGCAUCUAAGCACGAAACUUGCCCCGAGAUGAGUUCUCCCUGAGACUUUAAGUCUCCUGAAGGAACGUUGAAGACGACGACGUUGAUAGGCCGGGUGUGUAAGCGCAGCGAUGCGUUGAGCUAACCGGUACUAAUGAACCGUGAGGCUUAACCUU
rnacentral:rRNA from 1 species